rnacentral:rRNA from 1 species
UACGAAGGGGGCUAGCGUUGUUCGGAAUCACUGGGCGUAAAGGGCGCGUAGGCGGCUUUUCAAGUCGGGGGUGAAAGCCUGUGGCUCAACCACAGAAUUGCCUUCGAUACUGUUAGGCUUGAGACCGGAAGAGGUGAGUGGAACUGCGAGUGUAGAGGUGAAAUUCGUAGAUAUUCGCAAGAACACCAGUGGCGAAGGCGGCUCACUGGUCCGGUUCUGACGCUGAGGCGCGAAAGCGUGGGGAGCAAACGGG